GUAGGGGGCAAGCGUUAUCCGGAUUUACUGGGUGUAAAGGGAGCGUAGACGGCUGCGCAAGUCUGAAGUGAAAGCCCGGGGCUCAACCCCGGGACUGCUUUGGAAACUGUGUAGCUAGAGUGCUGGAGAGGCAAGCGGAAUUCCUAGUGUAGCGGUGAAAUGCGUAGAUAUUAGGAGGAACACCAGUGGCGAAGGCGGCUUACUGGACUGUAACUGACGUUGAGGCUCGAAAGCGUGGGGAGCAA
rnacentral:rRNA from 1 species